rnacentral:rRNA from 1 species
AGUAAAGUGGCGACCGGGUGAGUAACACGUGACUAACCUACCUCCGAGUGGGGAAUAACUCCGGGAAACCGGGGCUAAUACCGCAUAACAUCGCAAGAUCAAAGCAGCAAUGCGCUUGGAGAGGGGGUCGCGGCUGAUUAGCUAGUUGGCGGGGUAACGGCCCACCAAGGCGAAGAUCGGUAUCCGGCCUGAGAGGGCGCACGGACACACUGGAACUGAAACACGGUCCAGACUCCUACGGGAGGCGGCAGUGGGGAAUUUUGCGCAAUGGGGGAAACCCUGACGCAGCAACGCCGCGUGGAGGAUGAAGCCCUUUGGGGCGUAAACUCCUUUCGACUCGGACGAUAAUGACGGUACGAGUGGAAGAAGCACCGGCUAACUCUGUGCCAGCAGCCGCGGUAAUACAGAGGGUGCAAGCGUUGUUCGGAAUUAUUGGGCGUAAAGGGCGCGUAGGCGGUGCCACAAGUCACUUGUGAAAUCUCCGGGCUUAACUCGGAGUCUGCAGGCGAAACUGUGGUGCUGGAAUGUUGGGAAAAAGUGCGUGGAAUUCCGGUGUAGCGGUGAAAUGCGUA